rnacentral:tRNA from 2 species
GCAGGCAUAGUUUAGUGGUAAAAUAAACGCUUCCCAAGCGUUGGUUGCGGGUCCGAUUCCCGUUGCCUGCUCCA